CCCCAAACUGGAAAGAAGAUGCUAAUUAAAGUGAAGGGUACCUGCUUCUCCCAGUCCCUAACGUAGGUCGCCUCCGAGCACAGCCCUAAAAUCGGGGCCUCCCAAGGGCUAGACUAUGAGCCUUUACUGGUGGUUGCCAAGGUGUGGUAUCUCACCCGUCCUACAGGAACCAAAGCGGGGAGUGUGUUCAGUCAGUACCUGCCUUUCUGAGCCUGGCAUCCUGGACCAGCCUCACUUCCUUGGCUGAGGCAGACGCUGACCGGAAAGGAGAUUGAGAUUGACAUUGAACCUACAGACAAGGUGGAGCGAAUCAAGGAGCGUGUGGAGGAGAAAGAGGGAAUCCCCCCACAACAGCAGAGGCUCAUCUACAGUGGCAAGCAGAUAUUACACUCUCUGGCCUUUCUGGGUCGACACGCACGUAGACCCUCCGUUCCAUAAGAGCAGUGAUGGAACUGUACGAGAUAGGCGGGGCCAAGACGUCCGACUGUACCCAGAGGUGCCUGAGGUCCUAAAACGAUUGCAGAGCCUUGGGGUGCCCGGUGCGGCUGCUUCAAGGACAAGUGAGAUAGAAGGGGCCAACCAGCUACUGGAGCUCUUUGACCUCUUCAGGUACUUUGUUCAUCGGGAAAUCUAUCCAGGCAGCAAGAUCACACACUUUGAGAGGUUGCAGCAGAAGACUGG
rnacentral:lncRNA from 1 species